rnacentral:rRNA from 1 species
GCUUGUCUCAAAGAUUAAGCCAUGCAUGUCUUAGUGUAAAUAACUCUUAUGAAACUGCGAAUGGCUCAUUAAAUCAGUUAUCAAAUACGUGAUGGUCGCCUACUACAUGGAUAACCGUGGUAAAUCUAUGGCUAAUACAUGCGCAAAGGCCCGACCCUGAAGGGCUGUAUUUAUUAGAUCUAACCAUCAUUUGGUGAAUCAUAGUAACUGAUCGGACCGUGCGUUAGCGCGGUAAAUCGUUCAAGUUUCUGCCCUAUCAGCUUUCGAUGGUAGUGUAUUGGACUACCAUGGCAGUCACGGGUAACGGAGAAUUAGGGUUCGGUUCCGGAGAGGGAGCCUGAGAAACGGCUACCACAUCUAAGGAAGGCAGCAGG